UCAAGGGACAUUAAGCUUGUAUUGAUCUUACCUUGAUUACUCACAGGCUUCCCAGCGUGCAUACAAACACAGUCUCAACAAUACUCUUAAAAAUGGACUCUGAAGAAAAGACGUGGGAAAUGAAAUGGAGGAGGAAGGGAGGACCCCAUUAAUGCACUCCCAUUGCCCUUGCACCAGCCAUAACCAGAGACACGCAACGCCAGAGGAUUAAGCAGAUGAUGAGAGGAGGCAUAUGACCGAUAUGGGAUUUUGAAGUGUAAAAUCUCCUGUCUGUUCCCGCUUGGCAGCUUAAGCUCGUUACUCCAGUGAGACACCGUGAGGUAAGUGACGUACUUUCCACUGUGCAGGGGAUUGUGGGUCAGAAAGGCCAGAAAUCGACGUUUGCAUACUUAAAAACGGUUUGGUUUGGUUUGUCAUCCUGUAUGAUUGACCUGGAAGUCCAGUUCUGGGCUUCAGUCCUUGCUCCUCUCUCAAUCCUUUGUGACUGAUUGGACAUCUUCUUGGUCCUGUGCUCCAAUCAAACUACAGAAAUCACUACACUUAGUUUAAAGUCUGUGUGCAGCAUAUUGUGAGCAUCUCACCUCUGGGCCUCUUGCUGUCUUUUUGUAUUCUUUCUAACAGUUCCAAACGACCUUGUGUGUCUCUGUAUCUGCUCACUAUAGAGGUUACUUGUUGAUUUUGUGUUCUGUAGCCACAUAUAAGUGGAUAGUCACUGCUCAGAGCUUUGUGAUUUGUGUAAUGAGACACUUGUUCGAUUGCCAGGAAACUGGGCUGGACUUUGCUCUUUUAUAACAACCGUAUUAGGGUAAGAGUUUUGGGUGCUGCUGCCUUUGUAUUGCAGUUUAUUAAGCAAGCUGAAAUACUUACAGCCCCAUUUCCAUUUUUAUUUCUUCUAUUGAUUUAGCAACACCCACAGGCCUCGUUUUUGUUUGCAGUUUUAGCUCCUGUGUUUGAUUGUACUGCUAAGUAACAAAUAGCUUUGUUAAAACAAAAACAACUGGUUUAUGCUUCCCUGUAGCCUAACAGACCAAAGACAUAAGACCUUCAUACAACUAUUUUAGCUGAAACCUGUCAUCACUGCCACAUAUCUCAAUACAUUUCAGAACUGCAUUGUGUUUUGACUAUAUUAGUGUAAAAUGAGACACACACCACACUUUCUUAUAAAGCCAGUUUUCCGCUAAAGCACAUUGUUUGCAUGUCUGUCUUCACUAGAUUUUUUCCCACCUCUGUCUCAUAUGUUGAACUCUAUCUUCUUGUUCUCAUCCACACGUUCACCGCCACAGCACCCCAUCACAACCCCCACCCUAUGCUCAAAGUGGCACUUAGCAUCUGGGAAAAUUUAUGGAGUGUGAGGCAAUUUAUUCGAAGUGUGGAUGUCGGGAGGACAGUAGGAUGGUAGCAGCCAGUGUGUGUUUGCAUUAAAAAGCCUGCUAUCAGAAUUCACUUACUUCCAUAAGGGAAAGUAAUAAACCUUAUCUUGUUAUGUUUUUACAUGUUUGUAUUGUGUUAGUUUUCUCUGCGUCGGGUACAAUAAAAAUCAAAAUGCAGUGUUUUGUAGGACUCUGCCAACAUGGACACGUCACGCAUGUGCUGCAGAGCAGAUAAGUGGUAUCAUGUUAGUGACAUGGCUUAAAGCAGGAGGGAGGAGAACCAGCAGAGGUCAUAAAAUCACUUGUGUUUCUAAAUGGUCUCGAUUCAUUGCCUUUGUGUUAAUUGAUCAGACUGCAGGAUAAUUAAUGGCAUGCCACUUUAAUGGAGAAUAAAUACUCAUCAAUGUCACAGGGUCACUCAGCCGACUCCCCGGCAGAAACAGGAGGAGGAUCAUGUUGCAUUUUUUAACUCCUCCAGAAGGUUUCAUGAUAUAUUCUCUACGGAGUGUCAUAAGAGAUCAUACAGAGGUAGACUUGAAGCUUAAAACUUUUAAAAGGAGGCACUUUCAACAGGGUCUAUCCUCCACUUUCUUUUCAGCUGUCACAUCGAAAAAUCUCAUGGAGUUACAGUCAUUUAAUUUGAAUGAUGUCGCUGAUGGCAAACAUAUCAUCACCACCUUCGCAGUGCGGAGAAGUGCUUGUGAACAGCAGGUCACUGGUCUGAAUUUCUGAGCCAGAUGGCAAAAUGUGGUUUGAGAAGUGAAUGAUUAAAGGGUGAAUGUCGAGGUAAGGCCAUAUGGCCUUGAGUGCUAUCAAAUUUUCAAGGGUACACAUGUCGCACGCUGUUGCAAAGGUCGGCUAGCAGUUUUGUACCCAAGGCUAAAGGUAUUGCUUCAGGUAUUAUGUACUGUAUAAAGCCAAUUUUAAAUUAGGAAUACUGUACUAAAGCAACAUAUUUAAGAGAAAACAAUGAAUAAUGCAUAAUGAACCAGGACAGCCUCGAGAAGCAUUAAAAUCAUAUGAUUUGAAUCUACUGAUUGAGGCUCCAGGACCUAAUAUGUAAUAUUUAAAUUACGGAGUACUUGAAAAUUAAACAUUAAAUCUUAAAAGCCAUCUUAAAAGUUGUCUUUUUUCAUUUUCCUCCUGUUUUAUCACUGGGUGCUGCAUAGCAGGAGCAGAACACUUCCUGAGACCUGCAGGUAGCGCGAGCUGAGAGGAAAUAAAGUGUAGAAAUAAAUACAGUUGAGUGACAAACUAAAAGAAAGCCUUCAGAACUGCUUACUGUCAUAGAUAUUAUGAAAAAUCUUUAUUCCAAAAGAUACGCCGUCAUCUGGUGAUUUGAUGAUAGUGGUGGAGAGCCCCAGGUGCUCUGCAAUAUUAAGUUUUUUACUCUUAAACUGUCACUGAACAUGUCUGAAUAAGAAGUUUUGUCAAUCUCAUGGUUUUGGGAAAGUAAUAGACUUUAAUAGUGAAAAUUGAGUCAGAGAUAGUAAAAGAGCUGCCUAAGAUCAGUGAGGAAGUUUUCAGUACAUGCAAAUUCUUGAAAAACAACACAAACUAAAAACUUGACUCACCACAUGCAUGCACACACUGGCAGUCUCUCUGCAGCUGUGGCUAGAUUCUGAUCAAGUCUAGUCUCCUAACAACCAAUUCCACACCAGACAACCUUCUCCUCAGAAGAAUUACAUAAUCUAAGUCCAGUAUAUUGCAGAAUGUCGUCAGCACUAUUUCUGUUUGCAUCAUCUCAUUCCCCUGCUGUCCUGGCUCCAAAAACCCUCACAUGUGGUCCGCCAUAUUUUCCUGAGAGUGCAGUUCAGAGGAAGACCCCUGUGGGACCUGGAUUUAUCUGCAGGCCUUGGAUAAUGGAUGAUGGAGAUCAGGCCCCAUCAUGGUCACCAAUCUGCUCCACUGAGGGCUCCUGGCCAUGUCUGCUGGCCAGCCCGGUGGCCUGUCGCUUGCUCAGUGCCAGCACACGCUGAUGGUUGCUUACUAACCCUGUUCCCAGAUGCCAGGGCAUCUGCCCACAAAUACAACGUACUGCUGAGGCCUGUGAGCCAGGAGGACUGGCUGGAUGCCUGCAGGGGGAAAACAACCAGAGGCUGGAGUCCAGCCUGUCACCCCUGGCUUAUGGAUCCAUCCUCUCCAGACUGAAGCUGCUUUAAUUCUUUCAGUCAGUGCAACAUGUUCAUUGUUGUGAAUGACAUAAAAGGACAUUAUGUAAUCAUCGAUCAAGAUUGUCUUUUGGCGCAAUGACAUUUCUCAUAUUCUUGCAAAAUUAUUAGUUUACAAAAUACCUUGAAAGCCAAUGUUCAGGUUUAAUCAGUGAUUGUGCAUGUGUUGCAUCAUGUGGUCACUGUCGGCUUUUGGUCAGACAGGCCAGAAAUGAGUGUGGCCCAGGUUUUGCUUUACUAAAAGCUUGUUAGCCGACCAACCUUUCACAACAGCCAAUUUCUAACCUGCCAUGGCAGGUAAAGCAGCUACAUUCCACUAAAGCAUCCAGUGAGUGAGGUCUUCAUGUCCAUCACUGCUUUAGCUGGUGCAAGCAGGCUCAGAAGGACAUUCCAGACAUCCCUCUCUUCAACAACAUUUUCAGCUCCUCCUGGAGAAUUCCAUAGUGUACCCACGCCAGAUGAGAUAUACAAUCUCUCCAGCAUGUUCUGGGUCUGCACCGAGGUGUCCUCCCAAUUGGACCUGCCUUGAGAACUUCAAAAGGAACCCUCCAGAUGUCCAAACUCCACCCCAUCUCUAAGACUGAGCGACCCCUGUAGCUGCUGGUUUUCCCAGUGGGCACACCCCUUCCAGGGAGAGGUGUUGAAAUCAGACACAUUGCAAGCUGGGAGGCAGGCAAAGGUGGACACUUAGAUGUAUUGAUCCCUGACACUACAGACUGGUUCUAGGCACGUGGAGAAAGUAGAGCAAUCAUUAAUUGAUGAUAUUAAUUAAACUGGUGCUUUUCCUGGUGCCAUUUAAUGGCUAUAUGUUUUUCUUUAUAAAGACCUAAAGGCAAUGACAAAUAAUUGAUUCUGGAAACCACAUUUAAUACAACUUUGACUGAUGAUAGGAUAGAAACUUGAAGAUUUAAAUCUGGUGAAUUUGUGUUCAGUCUUUAUGCAUCAUAUGUUUUAAAAAUGUGUUUCUCUUGUUAUUAAAGCUAAACGGAAUGAAUUUUAAAAUAAAUGAACGUGAACGAUG